UCGCUCUCGUGCUUAUUAAAUAAAAUAAUAAAAUAUGUCGAUACAAGUUUUAUGAAUUGUUGGUUUAACAUUCGAGUAUCUCGUAACCACGAUCAAUGACUGGAAUACUAUUCGUGACUAUGCAUUCUUCGAAGGCUGUCUGUCCGAAUACAAACCCAAGGUCAUGAACCUAUGAAAACGAUAUUUCUUCUUACAAAUAUGUAAAGAGCCUCGUAAAAAGUAUAUCAUAACACACGCGCGUCUACUACUACCAAUCGGCCUACCUCUCCGACCAAAAUAAUCGAUAAGAGGUUCUCGAAACUGGUUGAUGCAUCGACCAACUUUUUGCCGAAAGAGAA